rnacentral:rRNA from 1 species
AGCGAACGCUGGCGGCAGGCUUAACACAUGCAAGUCGAGCGGGCAUCCUUGUGGUGUCAGCGGCAGACGGGUGAGUAACGCGUGGGAACGUACCCUUUGGUUCGGAAUAACUCAGGGAAACUUGAGCUAAUACCGGAUACGCCCUUUUGGGGAAAGGCUUGCUGCCGAAGGAUCGGCCCGCGUCUGAUUAGCUAGUUGGUGAGGUUAUGGCUCACCAAGGCGACGAUCAGUAGCUGGUCUGAGAGGAUGAUCAGCCACACUGGGACUGAGACACGGCCCAGACUCCUACGGGAGGCAGCAGUGGGGAAUAUUGGACAAUGGGGGCAACCCUGAUCCAGCCAUGCCGCGUGAGCGAUGACGGCCUUAGGGUUGUAAAGCUCUUUUCUCCGGGACGAUAAUGACGGUACCGGAGGAAUAAGCCCCGGCUAACUUCGUGCCAGCCGCCGCUGUAAAAC